GGUUAAGUGACUAAGCGUACACGGUGGAUGCCUUGGCAGUCAGAGGCGAUGAAAGACGUAGUAACUUGCGAUAAGCCCAGAUUAGGUAGUAACAACCAUUUGAGUCUGGGAUUUCUGAAUGGGGAAACCCACGUGCAUAAGCACGUAUCCUUACCUGAAUACAUAGGGUAAGGAGGCGAACCGGGGGAACUGAAACAUCUAAGUACCCCGAGGAAAAGAAAUCAACCGAGAUUCCGAAAGUAGCGGCGAGCGAAAUUGGACUAGCCCUUAAGCUUUACACGCGUUAGACGAACGGUCUGGAAAGUCCGACGAUACAGGGUGAUAGUCCCGUAGUUGACGACGUGUGUUCAGUGAAAUCGAGUAGGGCGGGACACGUGAUAUCCUGUCUGAAUAUGGGGGGACCAUCCUCCAAGGCUAAAUACUACUGACUGACCGAUAGUGAACCAGUACCGUGAGGGAAAGGCGAAAAGAACCCCUGUGAGGGGAGUGAAAUAGAACCUGAAACCGUGUACGUACAAGCAGUAGGAGCAGGCUUUGUCCUGUGACUGCGUACCUUUUGUAUAAUGGGUCAGCGACUUAUAUUCAGUGGCAAGGUUAACCAUCUAGGGGAGCCGUAGGGAAACCGAGUCUUAACUGGGCGUUCAGUCUCUGGAUAUAGACCCGAAACCAGGUGAUCUAGCCAUGGGCAGGUUGAAGGUUGAGUAACAUCAACUGGAGGACCGAACCGACUAAUGUUGAAAAAUUAGCGGAUGACUUGUGGCUAGGGGUGAAAGGCCAAUCAAACCUGGAGAUAGCUGGUUCUCCCCGAAAGCUAUUUAGGUAGCGCCUCGGACGAAUACUACUGGGGGUAGAGCACUGUUAAGGCUAGGGGGUCAUCCCGACUUACCAACCCUUUGCAAACUCCGAAUACCAGUAAGUACUAUCCGGGAGACACACGGCGGGUGCUAACGUCCGUCGUGGAGAGGGAAACAACCCAGACCGCCAGCUAAGGUCCCAAAUUACUACUAAGUGGGAAACGAUGUGGGAAGGCUCAGACAGCCAGGAUGUUGGCUUAGAAGCAGCCAUCAUUUAAAGAAAGCGUAAUAGCUCACUGGUCGAGUCGGCCUGCGCGGAAGAUGUAACGGGGCUAAGUAGUAAACCGAAGCUGCGGCA
rnacentral:rRNA from 1 species